rnacentral:ncRNA from 1 species
AUGGGAGAAGCUUAGAUGUUCUUGGAAUCUCUGAAAAGCAAUCAGCAAAUUUCGACAGGAUGUCGAAAUAGAUGCAAUGGAGCCAUGGAUGGCGACUUUGCAUCGGUUGCGUAUGAUUGAAAUAAAGUACACCCGGGGUGCCUAGAACAUCUUAGUUUCGUAC